CAAUCCCCACCACGUUUACUAGAGUUUGAUCCUGGCUCAGAUUGAACGCUGGCGGCAUGCCUUACACAUGCAAGUCGAACGGCAGCACGGGUGCUUGCACCUGGUGGCGAGUGGCGAACGGGUGAGUAAUAUAUCGGAACGUACCUUGUAGUGGGGGAUAGCUCGGCGAAAGCCGGAUUAAUACCGCAUACGCUCUGAGGAGGAAAGCGGGGGACCUUCGGGCCUCGCGCUACAAGAGCGGCCGAUAUCAGAUUAGCUAGUUGGUGGGGUAAAAGCUUACCAAGGCGACGAUCUGUAGCUGGUCUGAGAGGACGACCAGCCACACUGGGACUGAGACACGGCCCAGACUCCUACGGGAGGCAGCAGUGGGGAAUUUUGGACAAUGGGCGAAAGCCUGAUCCAGCAAUGCCGCGUGCGUGAAGAAGGCCUUCGGGUUGUAAAGCACUUUUGUCCGGAAAGAAAUCCUUUGGGUUAAUACCUCGGGGGGAUGACGGUACCGGAAGAAUAAGCACCGGCUAACUACGUGCCAGCAGCCGCGGUAAUACGUAGGGUGCAAGCGUUAAUCGGAAUUACUGGGCGUAAAGCGUGCGCAGGCGGUUUUGUAAGACGGAUGUGAAAUCCCCGGGCUCAACCUGGGAACUGCAUUCGUGACUGCAAGGCUAGAGUAUGGCAGAGGGGGGUAGAAUUCCACGUGUAGCAGUGAAAUGCGUAGAGAUGUGGAGGAAUACCGAUGGCGAAGGCAGCCCCCUGGGCCAAUACUGACGCUCAUGCACGAAAGCGUGGGGAGCAAACAGGAUUAGAUACCCUGGGUAAUCCACGCCCUAAACGAUGUCAACUAGUUUGUUGGGGAUUCAUUUCCUUAGUAACGUAGCUAACGCGUGAAGUUGACCGGCCUGGGGAGUACGGUCGCAAGAUUAAAACUCAAAGGGAUUUGACGGGGACCCGCACAAGCGGUGGGAUGAUGUGGAUUAAUUCGAUGCACCGCGAAAAACCUUACCUUACCCUUGACAUGGUACGGGAGUCUGCUGAGAGGCGGAUAUGUGCUCGGAAAGAAGAACCCGUAACACAGGUGGCCUGCAUGGCCUGUCGUCAAGCUUCGGUGUCGUGAGGAGUGUUGGGUUUAGUUCCCCGCACACCAGAGCCACACUUUG
rnacentral:rRNA from 1 species